rnacentral:tRNA from 1 species
GGGGAUGUAGCUCAGUGGUAGAGCGCAUCGUUGCAUGUAUGAGGCCCCGGGUUCGAUCCCUGGCGUCUCCA